rnacentral:rRNA from 1 species
UACGUAGGUGGCAAGCGUUGUCCGGAUUUAUUGGGUUUAAAGGGUGCGUAGGCGGCUUUGUAAGUCAGUGGUGAAAUAUGGCAGCUCAACUGUCAGGGUGCCAUUGAUACUGCGGAGCUUGAGUACAGAUGAGGUAGGCGGAAUUGACGGUGUAGCGGUGAAAUGCUUAGAUAUCGUCAAGAACACCGAUAGCGAAGGCAGCUUACUAGGCUGUAACUGACGCUGAGGAACGAAAGUGUGGGGAGCAAACAGG